rnacentral:rRNA from 1 species
AACGAACGCUGGCGGCAUGCCUAACACAUGCAAGUCAAGGGGGCCCGCAAGGGUAACCGGCGAACGGGUGCGUAACACGUGAGCAAUCUGCCUAGAUGUGGGGGAUAGCCGGCCCAACGGCCGGGUAAUACCGCAUACGCUCGUCGACUGGCAUCAGUUGACGAGGAAACUUUCGAGGCAUCUAGAGGAGCUCGCGGCCUAUCAGCUAGUUGGUGGGGUAACGGCCUACCAAGGCGGUGACGGGUAGGCUGGUCUGAGAGGAUGGCCAGCCACAUUGGGACUGAGAUACGGCCCAGACUCCUACGGAGGCAGCAGUGGGGAAGUAUUGUCGGCCAAUAGGCCGGAAAACGGGACGUGACGGCCAGCGACGCCG